GAUGAACGCUGGCGGCGUGCCUAAUACAUGCAAGUCGAGCGAACAGAUGAUGAGCUUGCUCCUCUGACGUUAGCGGCGGACGGGUGAGUAACACGUGGAUAACCUACCUAUAAGACUGGGAUAACUUCGGGAAACCGGAGCUAAUACCGGAUAAUAUAUUGAACCGCAUGGUUCAAUAGUGAAAGACGGUUUUGCUGUCACUUAUAGAUGGAUCCGCGCCGCAUUAGCUAGUUGUUAAGGUAACGGCUUACCAAGGCAACGAUGCGUAGCCGAACUGAGAGGGUGAUCGGCCGCACUGGAACUGAGACACGGUCCAGAGUCCUACGGGAGGCAGCAGUAGGGAAUCUCCCGCAAUGGGCGAAAGCCUGACGGAGCAACGCCGCGUGAGUGAUGACGGUCUUCGGAUCGGAAAACUCUGUUAUUAGGGAAGAACAAAUGUGUAAGUAAAUGUGCACGUCUUGACGGUACCUAAUCAGAAAGCCACGGCUAACUACGUG
rnacentral:rRNA from 1 species